rnacentral:tRNA from 2 species
AGACGCAUAGCUCAACGGUUAGAGCGCAAGUUUCGCAAACUUGAAGUUGCGGGUUCAAAUCCCGUUACGUCGA